rnacentral:rRNA from 1 species
UACGUGAGGGGCUAGCGUUGUCCGGAAUUAUUGGGCGUAAAGAGCUCGUAGGCGGCUUGUUGCGUUCAGCUGUGAAAACCCGCAGCUCAACUGUGGGCUUGCAGCUGAUACGGGCAGGCUUGAGUUCGGUAGGGGAGACGUGGAAUUCCUGGUGUAGCGGUGAAAUGCGCAGAUAUCAGGAGGAACACCGGUGGCGGAAGGCGGGGUCUCUGGGCCAUGGCUGACACUGGAGGCGACGACAGCGUGGGGAGCAAACAGG